AGAGUUUGAUCAUGGCUCAGAAUGAACGUUGGCGGCGUGGAUUAGGCAUGCAAGUCGCACGAGACACCAAUUAGCUUGCUAAGAGGUAGACAGUGGCGAAAGGGAGAGUAACGCGUGGUUACUUGCCCUCGAGACCGGGAUAGUGUCGGGAAACUGGCAGUAAUACCGGAUAACAUCUUCGGAUCAAAUGGUGUGAUUCCGCUCGAGGAUAGGACCGCGUACUAUUAGCUUGUUGGUGAGGUAACGGCUCACCAAGGCUGCGAUGGUUACCGGGUGUGAGAGCAUGGCCCGGCUCACUGGGACUGAGACACUGCCCAGACACCUACGGGUGGCUGCAGUCGAGAAUCUUCGGCAAUGGACGAAAGUCUGACCGAGCGACGCCGCGUGCGGGAUGAAGGCCCUCGGGUUGUAAACCGCUGUCAGUAGUUAGGAAAUCCAUGAGGGUUAUCUCUCAUGGUUGACCGAUCUUCAGAGGAAGGACGGGCUAAGUUCGUGCCAGCAGCCGCGGUAAGACGAACCGUCCAAACGUUAUUCGGUAUCACUGGGCUUAAAGCGUGCGUAGGCGGCUUGGUAGGUGAGAUGUGAAAGCCCACGGCUCAACCGUGGAAUUGCGUUUCAAACCCCCAAGCUCGAGGAAGAUAGGGGUGAUGGGAACUUAUGGUGGAGCGGUGAAAUGCGUUGAUAUCAUAGGGAACACCGGUGGCGAAAGCGCAUCACUGGAUCUUUUCUGACGCUGAGGCACGAAAGCUAGGGUAGCGAACGGGAUUAGAUACCCCGGUAGUCCUAGCCGUAAACGAUGAACACUGGGUUGAGGGGACUUC
rnacentral:rRNA from 1 species